rfam:Ictidomys tridecemlineatus contig038458, whole genome shotgun sequence.
GGGGUUGUGGCUCAGUGGUACAGCGCUCACCUAACAUGUGCGAGCACCUGGGUUCGAUUCUCAGCACCACUU